rnacentral:lncRNA from 1 species
GCAUUACAUUGGCAACCCACAUAGUUUCCACUAACUUUCACCAAAGUUGCAACUAUUGUUCACUACCACUUCUGACUCUUCAACAAGUUUAUCCUCAAGCUUUUACAACCCAAGUAUUCUUUAUCUACCAAGCAACUUCUGGCCCUAAACAAAUUAACAUAUUUGUUGAAGAUUGAUUACGCACAGAUAAGGCUAUCAUCUUAUAGAUGGAUAUCUAACUUGAGCACAUUAUUUUUUAACUCUCAAGAUAUACAAGGUGUUUUGAG